UAGGGUUUGAUUAUGGCUCAGAACGUACGCUGGCGGCACGCCUAACACAUGCAAGUCGAACGCAGUAGUAAUACUGAGUGGCGAACGGGUGAGUAUAAUGUGGGUAUCUGCCUUUUGGUUUGGAAUAACACGAGGAAACUUGUGCUAAUACCGGAUAAGCCUUUACAGGGAAAGCUUUAGCGCCGAAAGAUGAGCUCAUACUUGAUUAGCUAGUUGGUAAGGUAAUGGCUUACCAAGGCUACGAUCAAUAGCUGAUCUGAGAGGAUGAUCAGCCACAUUGGGACUGAGACACGGCCCAGACUCCUACGGGAGGCAGCAGUGGGGAAUCUUGCACAAUGGGGGAAACCCUGAUGCAGCGAUGCCGCGUGAGUGAAGAAGGCCUUUGGGUUGUAAAGCUCUUUCGUCGGGGAAGAAAAUGACUGUACCCGAAUAAGAAGGUCCGGCUAACUUCGUGCCAGCCGCCGCGGUAAUUCA
rnacentral:rRNA from 1 species